rnacentral:rRNA from 1 species
AUUGAACGCUGGCGGCAUGCCUUACACAUGCAAGUCGAACGGUAACAGGUCUUCGGAUGCUGACGAGUGGCGAACGGGUGAGUAAUACAUCGGAACGUGCCCGAUCGUGGGGGAUAACGGAGCGAAAGCUUUGCUAAUACCGCAUACGACCUACGGAUGAAAGCAGGGGACCGCAAGGCCUUGCGCGGACGGAGCGGCCGAUGGCAGAUUAGGUAGUUGGUGGGAUAAAAGCUUACCAAGCCGACGAUCUGUAGCUGGUCUGAGAGGACGACCAGCCACACUGGGACUGAGACACGGCCCAGACUCCUACGGGAGGCAGCAGUGGGGAAUUUUGGACAAUGGGCGAAAGCCUGAUCCAGCCAUGCCGCGUGCAGGAUGAAGGCCUUCGGGUUGUAAACUGCUUUUGUACGGAACGAAAAGACUCUUUCUAAUAAAGAGGGUCCAUGACGGUACCGUAAGAAUAAGCACCGGCUAACUACGUG